rnacentral:rRNA from 1 species
AACGAACGCUGGCGGCAUGCCUAACACAUGCAAGUCGAACGAGACCUUCGGGUCUAGUGGCGCACGGGUGCGUAACGCGUGGGAAUCUGCCCUUGGGUUCGGAAUAACAGUUGGAAACGACUGCUAAUACCGGAUGAUGACGUAAGUCCAAAGAUUUAUCGCCCAAGGAUGAGCCCGCGUAGGAUUAGCUAGUUGGUGAGGUAAAGGCUCACCAAGGCGACGAUCCUUAGCUGGUCUGAGAGGAUGAUCAGCCACACUGGGACUGAGGCACGGCCCAGACUCCUACGGGAGGCAGCAGUGGGGAAUAUUGGACAAUGGGCGAAAGCCUGAUCCAGCAAUGCCGCGUGAGUGAUGAAGGCCUUAGGGUUGUAAAGCUCUUUUACCCGGGAUGAUAAUGACAGUACCGGGAGAAUAAGCUCCGGCUAACUCCGUG